rnacentral:rRNA from 1 species
UACGUAGGGUGCGAGCGUUGUCCGGAAUUACUGGGCGUAAAGAGCUCGUAGGUGGUUUGUCGCGUUGUUCGUGAAAACUCACAGCUUAACUGUGGGCGUGCGGGCGAUACGGGCAGACUGGAGUACUGCAGGGGAGACUGGAAUUCCUGGUGUAGCGGUGGAAUGCGCAGAUAUCAGGAGGAACACCGGUGGCGAAGGCGGGUCUCUGGGCAGUAACUGACGCUGAGGUGCGAAAGCUAGGGUAGCAAACGGG